CGUCAAGUCAUCAUGCCCCUUAUGCCCUGGGCUGCAAACAUGCUACAAUGGCCGGUACAAUGGGCUGCGAUCCCGUGAGGGUGAGCGAAUCCCCAAAGCCGGUCCCAGUUCGGAUCGGGGUCUGCAACUCGACCCCGUGAAGUCGGAGUCGCUAGUAAUCGCGGAUCAGCAAUGCCGCGGUGAAUACGUUCCCGGGCUUU
rnacentral:rRNA from 1 species